AAACAACGCUGGCGGCAUGCUUACACCUGCAGGUCAAACGCUAUUUUAUAGAGUGGCGCACGGGUGAGUAACACGUGGGAAUCUGCCCUUCUGCCUGGGAUAACAGUUGGAAACGACUGCUAAUACCGGAUACGCCCUUCGGGGGAAAGGUCCGCCGCAGAAGGAGGAGCCCGCGCUUGAUUAGCUUGUUGGUGAGGUAAUGGCUCACCAAGGCAACGAUCAAUAGCUGGUCUGAGAGGAUGAUCAGCCACACUGGGACUGAGACACGGCCCAGACUCCUACGGGAGGCAGCAGUGGGGAAUAUUGGACAAUGGGGGCAACCCUGAUCCAGCAAUGCCGCGUGUGUGAUGAAGGCCUUAGGGUUGUAAAGCACUUUCACUGGUGAAGAUGAUGACGGUAACCAGAGAAGAAGCCCCGGCUAACUUCGUGCCAGCAGCCGCGGUAAUACGAAGGGGGCGAGCGUUGUUCGGAAUCACUGGGCGUAAAGGGAGCGCAGGCGGUUCAUUAAGUUAGGCGUGAAAGCCCCGGGCUCAACCUGGGAACUGCGCUUAAUACUGGUGAGCUAGAAAACACGGAGAGGGUAGUGGAAUUUCCAGUGUAGAGGUGAAAUUCGUAGAUCUUGGAAAGAACACCCGGUGGCGAAAGCGGCUACCUGGCCUGGAUUUUGACGCCUGAAGGGCUCGAAAAGCGUGGGGGAGCAAACAGGAUUAAGAUCACCCUG
rnacentral:rRNA from 1 species